GAUGAACGCUGGCGGCGUGCCUAAUACAUGCAAGUCGAGCGAACAGAUGAGGAGCUUGCUCCUCUGACGUUAGCGGCGGACGGGUGAGUAACACGUGGAUAACCUACCUAUAAGACUGGGAUAACUUCGGGAAACCGGCGCUAAUACCGGAUAAUAUAUUGAACCGCAUGGUUCAAUAGUGAAAGACGGUUUUGCUGUCACUUAUAGCUGGAUCCGCGCCGCAUUAGCUAGUUGGUAAGGUAACGGCUUACCAAGGCAACGAUGCGUAGCCGACCUGAGAGGGUGAUCGGCCACACUGGAACUGAGACACGGUCCAGACUCCUACGGGAGGCAGCAGUAGGGAAUCUUCCGCAAUGGGCGAAAGCCUGACGGAGCAACGCCGCGUGAGUGAUGAAGGUCUUCGGAUCGUAAAACUCUGUUAUUAGGGAAGAACAAAUGUGUAAGUAACUAUGCACGUCUUGACGGUACCUAAUCAGAAAGCCACGGCUAACUACGUG
rnacentral:rRNA from 1 species